AGCAGUAGCCACGGUAAUACGAGGGGUGCAAGCGUUAUUCGGAUUGACUGGGUGUAAAGGGUGUGCAGACGGCUUAUUAAGUCACUUGUUAAAUUCUUCGGCCUAACUGAAGGUCUGCAAGUGAUACUGAUGAGCUAGAGGGUGGAAGAGAGAAGUGGAAUUCUCGGAGUAGCGGUAAAAUGCGUAGAUCUCGAGAGGAACACCAAUGGCGAAGGCAGCUUCUUGGUCCAUUCCUGACGUUCAUACACGAAAGCGUGGGGAGCAAACAGGAUUAGAUACCCCAGUAGUCCCUGUCUCUUAUAC
rnacentral:rRNA from 1 species